GCGUUGUCCGGAUUUAUUGGGCGUAAAGCGCGCGCAGGCGGUUCGUUAAGUUCGGUGUGAAAGCUCCCGGCUCAACUGGGAGAGGUCAUCGGAUACUGGCGGACUCGAGGGAGGUAGAGGAAGGUGGAAUUCCCGGUGUAGUGGUGAAAUGCGUAGAGAUCGGGAGGAACACCAGUGGCGAAGGCGGCCUUCUGGGCCUUUCCUGACGCUGAGGCGCGAAAGCGUG
rnacentral:rRNA from 1 species